rnacentral:rRNA from 1 species
UGGGGAAUAUUGCACAAUGGGCGAAAGCCUGAUGCAGCAACGCCGCGUGAGGGAUGAAGGCCUUCGGGUUGUAAACCUCUUUUAGUUGGGAAGAAGCGAAAGUGACGGUACCAACAGAAAAAGCACCGGCUAACUACGUGCCAGCAGCCGCGGUAAUACGUAGGGUGCAAGCGUUGUCCGGAAUUAUUGGGCGUAAAGAGCUCGUAGGCGGUUUGUCGCGUCUGCUGUGAAAAUCCGAGGCUCAACCUCGGACCUGCAGUGGGUACGGGCAAACUAGAGUGCGGUAGGGGAGAAGGGAAUUCCUGGUGUAGCGGUGGAAUGCGCAGAUAUCAGGAGGAACACCGAUGGCGAAGGCACUUCUCUGGGCCGUAACUGACGCUGAGGA